rnacentral:rRNA from 1 species
UACGGUAGGGGCAAGCGUUGUCCGGAAUCAUUGGCGUAAAGCGCGUGUAGGCGGUUCGAUAAGUCUGCUGUGAAAGUCCAGGCUCAACCCUGGGAUGCCGGUGGAUACUGUCGGACUAGAGUACGGAAGAGGCGAGUGGAAUUCCCAGUGUAGCGGUGAAAUGCGCAGAUAUCGGGAGGAACACCGGUGGCGAAGGCGGUUCUCUGGGCCUUACCUGACGCUGAGGAGCGAA